rnacentral:rRNA from 1 species
GUCCUUUGGGUUGAAUCUAAGGUCUAGCCUGCCCAGUGAUAUAUAUUAAACGGCCGCGGUAUUUUGACCGUGCAAAGGUAGCAUAAUCAUUAGUCUUUUAAUUGUGGGCUUGUAUGAAAGGUUGGAUGAGAGAAUAGCUGUCUCGUUAUAAUAAUAUUGAAUUUUAUUUUUUAAUAAAAAAGUUAAAAUGAUCUAAGAGGACGAUAAGACCCUGUAGAUCUUUACAAUGUUUAGUAUUAAUAUAUUGUGGAUAAUAAAUUAGUUAAUAUCAAAUCUUGUUGUGUUGGGGCGACAGCGAAAUAUUUUAAACUUUCAUUUAAAACUAUCAUUUAUCAAUGUAAAAAUUUGAUCCAUGAGUUGUUGAAAUAAGACUAAGUUACCUCAGGGAUAACAGCGUAAUCUUCUUUACGAGUUCGAAUCAAUAAGAAGGGUUGCGACCUCGAUGUUGGAUUAAGAUUUUGCUUAGGUGUAGAAGCUUAAGAAAAAAGUCUGUUCGACUUUUAAAUUCUUACA